AAAAACCAGCUCAAAAGCUCUGUUGCGAACCAAGUUAUGCGCCUUCAAAGUUGGAGGCGAGAGAGUGAGAGCCGUCAGAGAAAACGACUGUCUACUUCUCUGCGUCUCACACUCUCUCACCUCCAACUUUGAAAGCGCAUAACUUGAUUCGGAACAGAGCUUUUGAGCUGGUUUUU
rnacentral:sRNA from 13 species